ACGCACGCUGGCGGCGUGCUUAACACCUGCCAGUCGAACGCUGAAGCUCAGCUUUUGUUGGGUGGAUGAGUGGCGAACGGGUGAGUAACACGUGAGUAACCUGCCUCCUUCUUUGGGAUAACGCCCGGAAACGGGUGCUAAUACUGGAUAUUCACUGGUCUUCGCAUGGGGGUUGGUGGAAAGGGUUUUUCUGGUGGGGGAUGGGCUCGCGGCCUAUCAGCUUGUUGGUGGGGUGAUGGCCUACCAAGGCUUUGACGGGUAGCCGGCCUGAGAGGGUGACCGGUCACAUUGGGACUGAGAUACGGCCCAGACUCCUACGGGAGGCAGCAGUGGGGAAUAUUGCACAAUGGGCGCAAGCCUGAUGCAGCGACGCCGCGUGAGGGAUGGAGGCCUUCGGGUUGUGAACCUCUUUCGCUCAUGGUCAAGCCGCAACAAUGGUUGUGGUGAGGGUAGUGGGUAAAGAAGCGCCGGCUAACUACGUG
rnacentral:rRNA from 1 species